rnacentral:tRNA from 1 species
UCCCUGAUGGUCCAGUGGCUAAGACUCUGCACUCCCAACGCAGGAGGCCUGGGUUCAACCCUGGUCAGGGAG